rnacentral:rRNA from 1 species
UACGAAGGGGGCUAGCGUUGUUCGGAAUUACUGGGCGUAAAGCGCACGUAGGCGGAUUGUUAAGUCGGGGUGAAAUCCCGGGGCUCAACCCCGGAACUGCCUUUGAUACUGGCAAUCUAGAGUCCGGAAGAGGUGAGUGGAAUUCCGAGUGUAGAGGUGAAAUUCGUAGAUAUUCGGGAGGAACACCAGGUGGCGAAGGCGGCUCACUGGGCCGUCAUGACG